CAGCUGGAGUUGCUGCCUCUGCCAGGAGGACUCUUGCAUGACCUUACAGUCCUACAGCCUGUUUCCUGUGUAAAUUGUCUAUGCCAUAAAUUCAUCGGAAAGGAACACACCUGGAAGAUUUGAACGCUCAAUAAUCAGAUCAAUAAUUUCAAAAUGACAUCACUCCCAAGAGAAGCAGAAUAUCUUUCUCAGAUUCAAAUUUCCUAUGAUGCAAAUGUACCAUACUGUACAUGGCACUCAAUAGAACAAAUGAUGUUUGAAGUUGAAAUCCUACAUAUUUCACUGUUCUUUUGCAUUUGCAUUAAUAAAAUAUUAUAUUACAUAAA